rnacentral:rRNA from 1 species
GAGUGUUCUUUACUGAGAUUUACGGUCUAUACCCUUUGUGAACAUACCUAUAACUGUUGCUUCGGCGGGUAGGGUCUCCGUGACCCUCCCGGCCUCCCGCCCCCGGGCGGGUCGGCGCCCGCCGGAGGAUAACCAAACUCUGAUUGAACGACGUUUCUUCUGAGUGGUACAAGCAAAUAAUCAAAACUUUUAACAACGGAUCUCUUGGUUCUGGCAUCGAUGAAGAACGCAGCGAAAUGCGAUAAGUAAUGUGAAUUGCAGAAUUCAGUGAAUCAUCGAAUCUUUGAACGCACAUUGCGCCCGCCAGCAUUCUGGCGGGCAUGCCUGUUCGAGCGUCAUUUCAACCCUCAAGCUCUGCUUGGUGUUGGGGCCCUACAGCUGAUGUACGCCCUCAAGGUAGUGGCGGACCCUCCCGGAGCCUCCUUUGCGUAAUAACUUUACGUCUCGCAGUGGGAUCCGGGAAGGACUCUUGCCGUAAACCCCUUUUUUUCGGAGGUUGACCUCGGAUCAGGGAAAAACACCCGUUAAACUCACCAUAUGGGUAAGCAGAGAGAA